rnacentral:rRNA from 1 species
UUCGCUACCCGCGUGCCUAAUUCAUGCAAGUCGACCGGACAGAUGGGAGCUUGCUCCCUGAUGUUAGCGGCGGACGGGUGAGUAACACGUGGGUAACCUGCCUGUAAGACUGGGAUAACUCCGGGAAACCGGGGCUAAUACCGGAUGGUUGUUUGAACCGCAUGGUUCAGACAUAAAAGGUGGCUUCGGCUACCACUUACAGAUGGACCCGCGGCGCAUUAGCUAGUUGGUGAGGUAACGGCUCACCAAGGCGACGAUGCGUAGCCGACCUGAGAGGGUGAUCUGCCACACUGGGACUGAGACACGGCCCAAACUCCUACGGGAGGCAGCAGUAGGGAAUCUUCCGCAAUGGACGAAAGUCUGACGGAGCAACGCCGCGUGAGUGAUGAAGGUUUUCGGAUCGUAAAGCUCUGUUGUUAGGGAAGAACAAGUGCCGUUCAAAUAGGGCGGCACCUUGACGGUACCUAACCAGAAAGCCACGGCUAACUACGUGCCAGCAGCCGCGGUAAUACGUAGGUGGCAAGCGUUGUCCGGAAUUAUUGGGCGUAAAGGGCUCGCAGGCGGUUUCUUAAGUCUGAUGUGAAAGCCCCGGCUCACCGGGGAGGGUCAUUGGAACUGGGGACCUUGAGUCAAAAAGGAA